rnacentral:rRNA from 1 species
AARGAGAAGUYGUAACAAGGUUUCCGUAGGUGAACCUGCGGAAGGAUCAUUG